ACUCAGCCUGACAAAUGUGUUACUGACUACGUGUAUUCCUCUGAACAAGACCAACGUUAUCAUUAUUUUGAAAAAAUUGGAAGAAGCAUGUCAUCGUACAGGGCAACCAAGACAGUUUGCUUACCAAAACCAGGCCUGAAUCCCGACUGAAAUGGAUCUAGAAAAUUUGCUGUUAAAAACAUCUUGAAAAUGAGUCCACUUGAGAGGAGCAGGAUAAGGGAAGAACCAGAAUAGGUGGAGGCCACACAACCUUUCCUUCAUCAGAGAAGCAACUGUGACAGCAGGAAUCUCUUCUGAACCAAAAGAAGUUUUUGAAAAAGAACACAGAGUAUAUACAAAUCAGUCGAAUGAAGGCAUGUCAUCAUGAGUCAGUAAAUCAACCCUCUUCCAUCACAAGCAGUAAUAUGCAAUUCAAAAAUAAAAUCCAAAAGGGAGAAGCAUUAAAAGAAACAUCCCCUCCAGAGCCCAGCAUGAGUAGAAGGAGGGCGAAGACAACCAAAGUCAUACUAUCGAAAUUAUUAUGUUUUGCCAUACCAUAUACAAUCCUCCAAUAAUACGUAAAAUGUUCAGAGAGAGCAAUGUCCCAGACUUGGGACCACCACCCCUCUCUAGAAGGGCCUGACUCACCCUUCCAUUUGCUGGCUGCUUCCAAACAUACGGCCAUCAAAAGCAAGGAUACCAGGUCGUUGUGGUGGACCAUUGGAUUAGUAUGACUCUCCAAAGACAACAGAGCUAAAAAAGAAUCCGGACUCAGACAUUGGAAAGUGAUACCAGAGAUUUGCUCAAAAACCCAGACCCCAAAUUGCCAAAUGUUAUCACAGUCCCACCAGAGGUGUACCAGGGUUCCAAUGCCCCCAAGCCCUCUCCAGCACUGCUAGGAAGACGUCUGGUGGAUGUGAGAGAGCCUCACUGGAGUCCAAUGCCAAUGCCACAAGAUUUUUAGUGAGGCCUCUUGAAUUCUCACAAAAUUGUGUUUAGAGGGGCCUUUCUCCAGCUCCUAUCCCAAGCCUCAACAUCUAUUGAUAUAGUGAGGUCUCCCUCCCGGGCAAGUCUCAAACCCUCCAUACCUUCCAUUUCAAGCAAUUAUGAAUAUAUCAAUGAAACGAACCCCUUCAAAUGGGAGCUGCCUUGAACACAGAGUGAUUGAUUAGUUUUAAUUGCUUUGUGUUGGGGGCAUUGUUUUGCACUGAAGGCAUAGGCUAAAGCUCUAUGUAUAGGUCAUGGAAAGGGGGAAAGAGAGAGAGAGGACAGUGAAACUGAAAGAAUGGAACAAUCUGUUUCAUUUUGAUUGCAACUAGGCUGUGUGUGUGCACAUUUUAAUUGCCUUUACAAUAGGGACCCUUUGUCUUCUCUGUCAGAAAUUUGUUAGGGUCUGAUUUCCUGGGGCGAGAUUGUAGUGCCUGAAUAUUCCGUGCUAUUUUAUUAGAAAACACCAAAGCUACAGGCAGCAGAAGACUGGCUGGGCCUUCCCUUGAAAUCAAUGGAAGAAAUGAAUGAACCAAUUAACAAGCCAACGAAUGGGCUAAUGCAAUUCAAACUAACAGAAAAUGAAAUGAAUGUAAACUUAAAAAUGAAAACCUAUUGAAUUUUUCUCCUUUGCAUCGCAUAGUUUAAAGAAAUGCUUACUUUUCUCCUGUAACAUCUGGAUGCCAGUUGCUCGGGCUUUAUAAAAAGCCACCAUACGUUAUAAACUUUGAAACACAAAGAAGUUAAGGAGCAAAGUACAGGUCCCUUCUAAUAGCAACAGAAUAUAACACUCAGUUCUAAUCUAACCAAGAAGAUUGAAAAUGGUGCUUAAGAGAAUGGCAUGAGUAACUGAAGAGAACUGACUGAGUGGACUUUCCUUGGCAUGAAUUAUGGGCUGGCAGGAUAAGGAUUUGUAUCAUGCUGGGAGAUUAGGCAAGGAUGAAAGCAUUUGAAAUUUGACUGAACACUAGACAUAACUCAUUACUUGUGAGCUGUCACAUAAGGCAUCGAGAUUUCAAGAAGGCUCUGUGGUUGGAAUUUUAUACCUCAGUUCUUCAGGACAGUAGGGUUGCAUUUACUGUCUCCAUUCGCACAGCAAGAGACAUACACUCUAUCUUUCCAUUCAAAUUGACCAGCUAUCAAGAGAAAGCGUCUCUGCGGAAAAGCAAGCCCUUAUUUUUUUCUGGCAUGCCUCUGAACAAACAGCAAUUAAUCUUUGUCUUUGUGCACUCAAACCCUUUCUGAUUGGUGACUAACCUCUGGCCACUUGUGCUUAGGAUCUCUGUGGGUUUAUUUGUACUCUUUCUGAACAGCAUCUCUACGGGGGCUUGGCUACAGGUGACCCUUGGAAUCGUGCAGCUGUGCAAUGACAAUUUGGCGCCAGUAAAACUGAGCCCCCUUCAGCUGGCUCCCUGGACAUAUGGCACAACCAUCUGUAGCAACAACCGUUGUCUCCACACCCCUACACCCCGGCACACAACAUGCAGUAUGUUGACUGGAAUGGGAAUUUGGCACUGAAUGGGCAAACAGAGAUGAAUUAUUUAGUAGCCCGUUUUAUAACGUAUUCAUAAUUCACACAGUUGCUGUGAUGUUCUCUGUGGAGGACGUGGUGAAUGUUCCCAUACAAAAUAGCUCGGGGGCAACAGUUAAUAGAAAUCACUAUAUCAGAUGUCAAGUCUGCUUUCUUUCACCGGAGUACAUUGGUCUAUACUUUCUCCAAAAGGACUGCCUUCGUGAAAGAAAAGGAAAGGCAAGAAAAGUGUGUGUGUGUGUGGGGGGGGAAUCUGCAAAGUGAUUAAGGUGGCUUCACAGGUAUGCUUUAAAUGUGACACACAUUUUUUCACAGGUUCCUAUUUCACCAAAGUUAUGUAGAAGUGUUGUGAUGGAAAGAAAGCACAAUAUUGCACUUAGGUCCUCUCUGACCACCUUACACAGGCAACAGAAUGAGGUGGUAUAGCUUAUUGUGGGUGUGGGAUGCCUGUUUUGAAUAUUCUGCCUAUGUAAAAACAAAAUAAAUCCUACGAAUAGAAACUAGCACAGCAAAAAGAAGGAUGCACUAGAAUCUUAAUUCUCUCUC